rnacentral:antisense_RNA from 1 species
CUCUUAUUUAAACCAAAUUGCAUUGCACUAAUCCCACAGCAUGCUCUUUGAGGACCCAGCUCUGAUAGGGCUUCUGAGGUGCCAGAAACCUCCAGCUGGAAUAUCCUGCCUUCAGGACACAUCAGACAUCUGGCUGUUCAUUAGUCCAAUGUUACAAGUCCUGCAGUCCACCUCCCACUCUAUCUGGCUCCCUGCUCUACCAGAGACAAAUCCACCAGAGCCAUAACAGAUGUGCUGCCGGGUCCCCAUCAGCAUCUGCACUGAGACCUACCACGGGACAAACCAAUGAUGAAAAAACCAAAGUCCAGAAAAUGAAAAUGGUCUCAGAGAGACUGGCCAAUCCUAUUUGGGGUCCUCUAGAAAAUUCUCCCAUCACUCUCUUCCCUGUCCUACCAUUUCCACAUAUUGAUCAUGACUUGGUGCUUCGUUUUUCUGCCCCUGCACUAGAACACAAACUCCACAAAGGCAAGGAGUUUAUCUUGUUCUUGAUGAAUCCCAGGCACUUAAGGAAGUAUUUGUUCGAUAAUUAGUUGUUGAGUGAGUGAAUAAAUGCACCUGUCCUAGCA